UACGGAGGGUGCAAGCGUUGUCCGGAAUCACUGGGCGUAAAGGGCGCGUAGGCGGCUCAUGAAGGCUGUGGUGAAAGUCCGGGGCUCAACCUCGGAUCGGCCGUGGCGACUCGUGGGCUGGAGCACUGUAGAGGCAGGUAGAAUUCCGGGUGUAGCGGUGGAAUGCGUAGAGAUCCGGAAGAACACCAGUGGCGAAGGCGGCCUGCUGGGCAGUGGCUGACGCUGAGGCGCGACAGCGUGGGGAGCAAACAGG
rnacentral:rRNA from 1 species